UACGUAGGGAGCAAGCGUUGUCCGGAAUCAUUGGGCGUAAAGCGCGCGUAGGUGGCUUCGUAAGUCCGUUGUGAAAGUCAAAGGCUCAACCUUUGAAAGCCGAUGGAUACUGUGAAGCUAGAGUACGGAAGAGGCGAGUGGAAUUCCUGGUGUAGCGGUGAAAUGCGCAGAUAUCAGGAAGAACACCAAUGGCGAAGGCAGCUCUCUGGGACGGUACUGACGCUGAGACGCGAAAGCGUGGGGAGCGAACAGG
rnacentral:rRNA from 1 species